CCGUAACCAUUGUGGUUCAAG
rnacentral:sRNA from 1 species